AGAGUUUGAUCAUGGCUCAGGAUAAACGCUGGCGGCGUGCAUCAGGCAUGCAAGUCGAACGCGUCCUUCCGGUUCGCCGGAAGGAUGAGUGGCGGACGGGUGAGUAACACGUAAGUAACCUGCCCAGAAGUGGGGAAUAACCCGCCGAAAGGCGAGCUAAUACCGCAUGUGAUGGUCCUUCCUCGGAGGGACUCUGAAAGGCUUAGGUCGCUUCUGGAGGGGCUUGCGGCCGAUUAGCUAGUUGGUGGGGUAACGGCCUACCAAGGCAACGAUCGGUAGCUGGUCUGAGAGGAUGGUCAGCCACACGGGGACUGAGACACGGCCCCGACUCCUACGGGAGGCAGCAGCUAGGAAUCUUGGGAAUGGGCGAAAGCCUGACCCAGCAACGCCGCGUGGGCGAUGAAGGCCUUCGGGUCGUAAAGCCCUUUUGCGGGGGAAGAUGAUGACGGUACCCCGCGAAUAAGCCACGGCUAACUACGUGCCAGCAGCCGCGGUAAUACGUAGGUGGCGAGCGUUGUCCGGAUUUACUGGGCGUAAAGCGCGUGCAGGCGGUUCGUUAAGUCCAGGGUGAAAGCUCCCGGCUCAACUGGGAGAGGUCCUUGGAUACUGGCGGACUUGAGGGAGGUAGAGGAGAGUGGAAUUCUCGGUGUAGUGGUGAUAUGCGUAGAUAUCGAGAGGAACACCAGUGGCGAAGGCGGCUCUCUGGGCCUUUCCUGACGCUGAGACGCGAAAGCGUGGGGAGCGAACCGGAUUAGAUACCCGGGUAGUCCACGCCGUAAACGAU
rnacentral:rRNA from 1 species